UGAAUACGAGACGCUAAGGCGUCGAAGUAGUGUAUGUCAUACUUCCAAGAAAAGCUUGCACUGUCAUAGAUAAAAAACGCCUGUACCAUAACCGACACAGGUGGGUAGGUAGAGUAUACUAAGGGGCGCGAGAUAACUCUCUCUAAGGAACUCGGCAAAAUAACUCCGUAACUUCGGGAGAAGGAGUGCCUUAUUCGUAAGGUUGCAAUAACAAGAUCCAAGCAACUGUUUAUCAAAAACACAGGUCUCCGCUAAGUCGUAAGACGAUGUAUGGGGGCUGACGCCUGCCCAGUGCCAGAAGGUUAAAGAAGUGGGUUAGCAAUUGCGAAGCUGAUAACUGAAGCCCUGGUGAACGGCGGCCGUAAUAAUAACGGUCCUAAGGUAGCGAAAUUCCUUGUCGGGUAAGUUCCGACCCGCACGAAAGGCGUAAUGAUUUGGAUACUGUCUCGGAGAGGGGCUCGGUGAAAUAGACUUGUCUGUGAAGAUGCGGACUACCUGCACCAGGACAGAAAGACCCUAUGAAGCUUUACUGUAACUUGAAAUUGAAAUUGGACUUUAUUCGCGCAGUAUAGGUGGGAGGCGUUGAUUAUAAUCUUGUGGGAUUAUUGGAGCCAUCGGUGAGGUACCACUCUUGUAAUGUUAGAUUUCUAACUUUGAAUCAUUAUCUGGUCAAAGAACAGUUUCAGGCGGGCAGUUUGACUGGGGCGGUCGCCUCCUAAACGGUAACGGAGGCGUACAAAGGUUUCCUCUGAACGGUUAGAAAUCGUAUCUAGAGUGUAAAGGCAUAAGGAAGCUUGACUGUGAGACCUACAAGUCGAGCAGGGACGAAAGUCGGUCUUAGUGAUCUGACGGUACUGAGUGGAAAGGCCGUCACUCAACGGAUAAAAGUUACUCUAGGAUAACAGGCUGAUCUCCCCCAAGAGUUCACAUCGACGGGGAGGUUUGGCACCUCGAUGUCGGCUCAUCGCAUCCUGGGGCGGUAGUACGUCCCAAGGGUUGGGCUGUUCGCCCAUGAAAGCGGUACGCGAGCUGGGUUCAGAACGUCGUGAGACAGUUCGGUCCAUAUCCGGUGUAGGCGUUAGAAUAUUGAGAGGAGCCUUCUUUAGUACGAGAGGACCGAGAAGGACAUACCUCUGGUGUACCAGUUAUCGUGCCAACGGUAAACGCUGGGUAGCUAUGUAUGGAGUGGAUAACCGCUGAAAGCAUCUAAGUGGGAAGCCCACCUCAAGAUAAGUAUUCUCAUCA
rnacentral:rRNA from 1 species